rnacentral:rRNA from 1 species
AUUACCGAGUUUACAACUCCCAAACCCCUGUGAACAUACCAGUACCGUUGCUUCGGCGGACCACCCCGACCCCUACGGGGCGACGGGCCCGCCAGAGGACACCUAAAAUUCAAAUGUAUCUUGCCCUGAAAAUUUUAUUCUGAGUGGAAUUUUUUAAAUAAAUCAAAACUUUCAACAACGGAUCUCUUGGCUCUGGCAUCGAUGAAGAACGCAGCGAAAUGCGAUAAGUAAUGUGAAUUGCAGAAUUCAGUGAACCAUCGAAUCUUUGAACGCACAUUGCGCCCGCCAGUAUUCUGGCGGGCAUGCCUGUUCGAGCGUCAUUUCAACCCUCAAGCCCCCGGGCUUGGUGUUGGGGAUCGGCACAAGGCGCUGGCACCUCCGGGAGCCGCGCGCCCGCCGUCCCCCAAAUCCAGUGGCGGUUCACGCCGUGUGUACCUCAGCGUAGUAGCAACGACUCGCUCCGGAACCCUCCUGUGAACCACGCCGUAAAACCCCCGACUUUUUUCUGGUUGACCUCGAAUCAGGUAGGACUACCCGCUGAACUUAAGCAUAUCAAUAAGCGGAGGAAAAGAAACCAACAGGGAUUGCCCCAGUAACGGCGAGUGAAGCGGCAACAGCUCAAAUUUGAAAUCUGGCCCCCGGGUCCGAGUUGUAAUUUGUAGAGGAUGCUUUUGGCAAGGUGCCUUCCGAGUUCCCUGGAACGGGACGCCAUAGAGGGUGAGAGCCCCGUCUGGUCGGACACCGCGCCUCUGUAAAGCUCCUUCGACGAGUCGAGUAGUUUGGGAAUGCUGCUCUAAAUGGGAGGUAUAUGUCUUCUAAAGCUAAAUACCGGCCAGAGACCGAUAGCGCACAAGUAGAGUGAUCGAAAGAUGAAAAGCACUUUGAAAAGAGAGUUAAAAAGUACGUGAAAUUGUUGAAAGGGAAGCGAUUGUGACCAGACUUGGGCCUGUUUGAUCAGCUUGGGUUCUCCCGGGUGCACUCUUUCAGGCCUGGGCCAGCAUCAGUUCGUAGCGGGGGACAAAUGACUCGGGAAUGUGGCUCCCCCUCGGGGAGUGUUAUAGACCGUAUCGGAAUACCCUGCGUCGGACUGAGGGCCGCGCA